AGGUUCCGCGCUGCGCGGCCGCCCACGGAGUCCUGCGUCAGCAAAGCGCGGCCGCGGCGGCGAGGGGUGCGGCCUGGGCUCUCCGCGCGGCUCUUGGCUCCGGUGUCCGGUGCCGCUCCCUGGCCGAGCCUGCAGGUUCCUUACGUUUUGAUCACACCGUGCCCAAGUACUCCAUCGGUAAAAGCCGAAGGAAUUAUUUUCAUUUCUUGGGAGAACAGCUCAGGAAUACAUCCAGAGUUUGAAAUCUGAUUAUGGGAAAUUUUCCUGAAUCAAUCAAAAGGAAAAAAAGACUGUACAGAUGGCAGAUUUUAUUUUUUAGAAGAGGAAUCUCUAUCAAUAAGUUCGUUUUUAAAAAUUUAUUCUGUUCCUGUAGUACUAUGCAGCCACUGAAAAAUAUUCGAAAGAUAUUCUGGGAUACAAAAAAGACUCCAGGGAGAUUAUUUUUAAAGAAUUGAAGCCCGUGACAACUAUACUACAAUUAAAAAAAACAAAAAACAAAAAAAACAGUUUAAGUCGGUUGAGCUGCCAGUUCUUGAUGUUGGCUGAGGUCAGGAUCGGAGUCCUCGGAGUGAGACGGAGCCCCCUCGGCACGGAGCUUACGUCACAGAGAGAGAGAGGCAGAGACACAGGCAGAGGGAGAAGCAGGCUCCAUGCACCGGGAGCCCGACGUGGGACUCGAUCCCGGGUCUCCAGGAUCGCGCCCUGGGCCAAAGGCAGGCGCUAAACCACUGCGCCACCCAGGGCUCCCUUGAGAACUAAUCUACAUGAUGAAAAUCCUUGGCGAAGAAACGAGUUCUCAGAAGUCCAAAGAUGAAGGUACCAACUGCAGUGGCAGUAAACCACUGUGAGGAGCCCUUGCCCCAAGAAGCACUUGCCCAAGACUGUCUGUGGUGUCCUCCACUGUGCAGCCUCCCAGUUCUCUGCACAAGUCUUUGCAGCAUUUUUAUAUACAUGCCCAUUCUUUAAAAUCUCAGAGCCUUCCUUUUGCAAACUUGAUUUCUGGGGCUCAUAUUUAAAAAGAUAAAAACUAGGGGCACCUGGAUGGUCAGUUAAGCAUCUGUGUUCAGCUCAGAUCAUGAUCUCAGGGUCCUGGGGGUCAAGCCCAGGUCAGGUUCCCUGCUCAGUGGGGAGUCUGCUUCUCCUUCCCUCUCUGCCCUUCCCCCUGCUUUUCUGUGUCUCAAAUAUAUAAAAUCUAAAAAAAUAAAUAAAUAAAAGUAAAAAAGAUAAAAUCUUGGGGCUCCUAAAUUGAGCCUCUAAUUCUUGGUUUCAGCUUGUGAUCUCGGGGUUGCAGAUCGAGCCUGGAGUUAGACUCUGUGCUCAGGCACUGUCUGCUAGAGGGUUUUCUCUCUCUGCCCCUCCCCUAACUUGUGUGUGCCUUUGUGCGCGAGGCUCUAAUAAAUAAAUCUUUAAAAAAUAAAAAUAUAAACAUC